GGCCGGUCCCAGAGCAGUGGUAUUUGUAGUCCAUCACAACCAAUUACAGAUUUCUUUGUUCCUUCUUCAUUCCCAUUGCUUCACUUGACAAGCCUUAA
rnacentral:Y_RNA from 1 species